rnacentral:rRNA from 1 species
AUUGAACGCUGGCGGCAGGCCUAACACAUGCAAGUCGAGCGAGCGGCGGACGGGUGAGUAAUGUCUGGGAAACUGCCUGACGGAGGGGGAUAACUACUGGAAACGGUAGCUAAUACCGCAUACCAUCAGAUGUGCCCAGAUGUGAUUAGCGAGUAGGUGGGGUAACGGCUAACCAUGGCGACGAACCCUAGCUGAGCUGAGGGGAUGACCAGCCACACUGGAACGGAGACACGGUCCGAACUCCUACGGAGGGCAUCAGUGGGGAAUAUGGAACAGUGGGAGAAGACCGGAUGCAGCCAUGCCGCGUAUGUGAAGAAGGCCUUCGAGUUGUAAAGCACUUUCAGCAGGGAGGCGUUACCCGAAGAAAAAGGACCGGCUAACUCCGUGCCAGCAGCCGCGGUAAUAC